AAUAUUGGUCAAUGGGCGCAAGCCUGAACCAGCCACGUCGCGUGAAGGAAGACGGCCCUACGGGUUGUAAACUUCUUUUGCAAGGGAAUAAAGUUGGCCACGCGUGGCCUUUUGCAUGUACCUUGCGAAUAAGGAUCGGCUAACUCCGUGCCAGCAGCCGCGGUAAUACGGAGGAUCCGAGCGUUAUCCGGAUUUAUUGGGUUUAAAGGGUGCUCAGGCGGGGGAUUAAGUCGGCGGUGAAAUUUUGCGGCUCAACCGUAAAAGUGCCUUCGAAACUGGUUUCCUUGAGUGAGGAUGAGGUAGGCGGAAUUUGUGGUGUAGCGGUGAAAUGCAUAGAUAUCACGAGGAACUCCGAUUGCGCAGGCAGCUUACUAAGCCAUAACUGACGCUCAAGCACGAAGGCGUGGGGAUCAAACAGG
rnacentral:rRNA from 1 species